rnacentral:rRNA from 1 species
GAUGAACGCUGGCGGCGUGCCUAAUACAUGCAAGUCGAGCGAACGGACGAGAAGCUUGCUUCUCUGAUGUUAGCGGCGGACGGGUGAGUAACACGUGGAUAACCUACCUAUAAGACUGGGAUAACUUCGGGAAACCGGAGCUAAUACCGGAUAAUAUUUUGAACCGCAUGGUUCAAAAGUGAAAGACGGUCUUGCUGUCACUUAUAGAUGGAUCCGCGCUGCAUUAGCUAGUUGGUAAGGUAACGGCUUACCAAGGCAACGAUGCAUAGCCGACCUGAGAGGGUGAUCGGCCACACUGGAACUGAGACAGGGUCCAGACUCCUACGGGAGGCAGCAGUAGGGAAUCUGCCGCAAUGGGCGAAAGCCUGACGGAACAGCGCCGCGUGAGUGAUGAAGGUCUUCGGUUCGUAAAACUCUGUUAUUGGGGAAGAACAUAUGUGUAAGUAACUGUGCACAGAUUGACGGUACCUAGUCAGAAAGCCACGGCUAACUACGUG